UCCGGUUGAUCCUGCCGGACCCUACUGCUAUCGGGAUAGGACUAAGACAUGCUAGUUGAGCGCUUCCAGCCAAAACGGGAGCGCAGCGCACAGCUCAGUAACACGUGGCUAAUCUGCCCUUGGGACCGGAACACCCCCGGGAAACUGAGGCUAAUUCUCGAUAGGUGAAGAACUCUGGAAUGAGUCUUUGCCAAAAAGACGUUUACGUUAUGCUCGUAGACGUCGCCCAAGGAUGAGGCCGCGACCGAUCAGGUUGUUGGUGAGGUAAUGGCUCACCAAGCCUUUUACCGGUGCGGGCCGUGAGAGCGGGAGCCCGGAGAUGGGCACUGAGACAAGGGCCCAGGCCCUACGGGGCGCAGCAGUCGCGAAAACUUUGCAAUACACGAAAGUGUGACAGGGCUAUCCCGAGUGCCAUCCGCUGAGGAAGGCUUUUACCCAGUCUAGAACGCUGGGGGAAUAAGGAGAGGGCAAGUCUGGUGUCAGCCGCCGCGGUAAUACCAGCUCUCCGAGUGGUGUGGAUGUUUAUUGGGCCUAAAGCAUCCGUAGCUGGCUGAGUUAGUCCCUUGUUAAAUCCACCGAAUUAAUCGUUGGAUUGCGGGGGAUACUGCUCGGCUAGGGGACGAGAGAGGCAGACGGUAUUUCUGGGGUAGGGGUGAAAUCCUAUAAUCCCAGGAGGACCACCAGUGGCGAAGGCUGUCUGCUAGAACGCGCCCGACGGUGAGGGAUGAAAGCUGGGGGAGCGAACCGGAUUAGAUACCCGGGUAGUCCCAGCUGUAAACGAUGCAGACUAGGUGUUUGGACGGCCACGUGCCGUUCUAGUGCCGCAGGGAAGCUGUUAAGUCUGCCGCCUGGGGAGUACGAUCGCAAGAUUGAAACUUAAAGGA
rnacentral:rRNA from 1 species